rnacentral:rRNA from 1 species
AUUGAACGCUGGCGGCAGGCCUAACACAUGCAAGUCGAACGAGUGGCGGACGGGUGCGUAAUGUCUGGGAAACUGCCUGAUGGUGGGGGAUAACUACUGGAAACGGUAGCUAAUACCGCAUACCAUCGGAUGUGCCCAGAUGGGAUUAGCUAGUAGGUGGGGUAACGGCUCACCUAGGGGACGAUCCCUAGCUGGUCUGAGAGGAUGACCAGCCACAGUGGAACUGAGAAACGGUCCAGACUCCUACGGGAGGCAGCAGUGGGGAAUAUUGAACAAUGGGCGCAAGCCGGAUGCAGCCGUGCCGGGUGUAUGAAGAAGGCCUUCGGGUUGUAAAGUACUUUCAGCGGGGAGGCGUUACCCGCAGAGGAAGCACCGGCUAACUCCGUGCCAGCAGCCGCGGAAUAC